rnacentral:lncRNA from 1 species
UUUAAUGACAUAUUUGAAACUAAAAAUCACAUUAAUCUUUCUUAAUUUUUCACCCCUGUAACUUAUUAAAAUAAACAUAGAAGUUUUCAGGGACUUUCGGCCCUCGGUCCUAACGUAAUCUUUCAUUCUGCGUUUAAAUUUUUCAAAAAUACUUAUUAGUUUUCUUAGGCCCGGUCUUUUCACCUCCGAAUAAAUAUGCUCUUAUCUGGCAGUUAGCUAUCUGGAGGAUAAAUAUUUAUUCGCCAGAUAAAAUGUACCCGUCUUUUCACGUCAAUUUAUGUUCCAGUUAGUUAUCCGGUAGAUAAGCUUAAAAGUAAGUUUGGAUUCGGAACACACCUGAUUUUUGUGUUUAUUUUUAUGCUUUGCUUUAACUUAACCUAACAUAAACAUAAUUAGAUUCACAUAAUCAAGACCAAGAUGAUUUUCUCGAUUUUAUUUCCAUUUUGGAAGAAGGAAAUAAAGAAAACAUUGAUUAUGGUGAAAAAGUUUACUGGAGAACUUGAACAAGAGGUAAAUAAAUUUUAAAUUAGUGGAAAACUGUUGAUUUGUAUGUAAAGAAGACAAAGACAAGUUUAAAUAAAGACAAGCUAGCUAAUGAAACAGAUGCAGUGUUACAGAUAUGACAAACAUCUAGAAGAUUCAAUCCUGCGUUCUUAAAGAAAAAAGCUAGUUCCAGUAGUAAGCUACCAAUAAUAAACUAGAGAAUGUAUUACAAGAAAGAACAACGCUAAUACUAAACAUACAUCAAUUGCUUCAGAUAGAAAAAGAGGACGAAAAGGUACAACACAAGCGUGCUAGAGAAAAUGAAAGGGCAGAAGAGAGACACAAAAAUUCAUUGAUUUAUUAAAUUUAAAAAUUAAAUUAUACAAAGGACAAUUAAAUAAAGAAUAAAAAAAUGAUA